CACGUAGGGAGCAAGCGUUGUUCGGAUUUACUGGGCGUAAAGCGCACGUAGGCGGAUCGUUAAGUCGAGGGUGAAAUCCUGGAGCUCAACUCCAGAACUGCCUUCGAUACUGGCGAUCUUGAGUCCGGAAGAGGUGAGUGGAACUCCUAGUGUAGAGGUGGAAUUCGUAGAUAUUAGGAAGAACACCAGUGGCGAAGGCGGCUCACUGGUCCGGUACUGACGCUGAGGUGCGAAAGCGUGGGGAGCAAACAGG
rnacentral:rRNA from 1 species